rnacentral:tRNA from 1 species
GGGCAAUUAACUCAGUGGGAGAGUGCUACCUUCACACGGUAGAAGUCACUGGUUCAAGUCCAGUAUUGCCCA